AUGAACCACUUCGGUGGGGAUUAGUGGCGAACGGGUGAGUAACACGUGGGCAAUCUGCCCUGCACUCUGGGACAAGCCCUGGAAACGGGGUCUAAUACCGGAUACGACCAUCUUGGGCAUCCUUGAUGGUGGAAAGCUCCGGCGGUGCAGGAUGAGCCCGCGGCCUAUCAGCUUGUUGGUGAGGUAAUGGCUCACCAAGGCGACGACGGGUAGCCGGCCUGAGAGGGCGACCGGCCACACUGGGACUGAGACACGGCCCAGACUCCUACGGGAGGCAGCAGUGGGGAAUAUUGCACAAUGGGCGAAAGCCUGAUGCAGCGACGCCGCGUGAGGGAUGACGGCCUUCGGGUUGUAAACCUCUUUCAGCAGGGAAGAAGCGAAAGUGACGGUACCUGCAGAAGAAGCGCCGGCUAACUACGUGCCAGCAGCCGCGGUAAUACGUAGGGCGCAAGCGUUGUCCGGAAUUAUUGGGCGUAAAGAGCUCGUAGGCGGCUUGUCACGUCGGUUGUGAAAGCCCGGGGCUUAACCCCGGGUCUGCAGUCGAUACGGGCAGGCUAGAGUUCGGUAGGGGAGAUCGGAAUUCCUGGUGUAGCGGUGAAAUGCGCAGAUAUCAGGAGGAACACCGGUGGCGAAGGCGGAUCUCUGGGCCGAUACUGACGCUGAGGAGCGAAAGCGUGGGGAGCGAACAGGAUUAGAUACCCUGGUAGUCCACGCCGUAAACGGUGGGCACUAGGUGUGGGCACAUUCCACGUUGUCCGUGCCGCGCUAACGCAUUAAGUGCCCGCCUGGGGAGUACGGCCGCAG
rnacentral:rRNA from 1 species